rnacentral:piRNA from 1 species
UCAUUAUUGUGGACAUAGUAGAAAUUCUA